UAGUAAAACGGUAGCUUAGCCACGUC
rnacentral:piRNA from 1 species